CACAAAGGUUUGGUCCCGGCCUUUUAAUCAACUAUAGCUAAAUUUACACAUGCAAGUAUCCGCAUCCCCGUGAGAAUGCCCCCAGCCCCCUUCCCGGGGGCAGGAGCUGGUAUCAGGCACAAGUAUUUAGCCCAUGACACCUAGCCCAGCCACACCCUCAAGGGUAUUCAGCAGUGAUAAACAUUAAGCCAUAAGUGAAAACUUGACUUAAUUAAAGCUAAGAGGGCUGGUUAAUCUCGUGCCAGCCACCGCGGUUAUACGAUAAGCCCAAGUUGAUAAAUAACGGCGUAAAGGGUGGUUAAGGCAUGUUAAAUCUAACUAGAGCUGAACUUUACCAGGGCUGUUAUACGCUUACGGAAAGAGAAGACCAACUACGAAAGUGGCUCUAACCACUCCUGACACCACGAAAGCUAUGGUACAAACUGGGAUUAGAUACCCCACUAUGCAUAGCCGUAAACCCGACAGCCCAGUACACCCGCUGUCCGCCCGGGUACUACAAGCACGAGCUUCAAACCCAAAGGACUUGACGGUGCUUUACAUCCGCCUAGAGGAGCCUGUCCUAGAACCGAUAACCCCCGUUAAACCUCACCUUUUCUUGCUUAAACCGCCUAUAUACCGCCGUCUCCAGCCUACCCUGUGAGGGAAUCAUAGUGCGCACAAUCGGCAUACCCCAGUACGUCAGGUCGAGGUGUAGCGUAUGGAAAGGGAAGAGAUGGGCUACAUUCAAUGAAACAAUGAAUACGGAUGGUUAAUUGAAAAAUUGACUUGAAGGAGGAUUUAGUAGUAAACGGGGAAUAGAGUGCCCCGCUGAAUCAAGGCCCUGGAGCGCGUACACACCGCCCGUCACUCUCCCCUAGUCUCAACCCAUAUAAUCUUGUUUCUAACAACUUAAAAAUGCAGAGGGGAGGCAAGUCGUAACAUGGUAAGUGUACCGGAAGGUGCACUUG
rnacentral:ncRNA from 1 species